UUUUGAGGGAGCGGGGCUGUGGUGGGACCGGGGUGUGGGGAUAAAAAACAGUCGGGAUCUUCCCCCUGCGGAGUUUCGAAUCUGCCAGGGGCUUCGGCGGUUGCUGGCAGAUUGUCCUCGCUAGAUAUGGUUUCAUAGUCAUGCAAUAAUUCCGAAGGGUCAGAAAACUUAGGAGAAACCUUCCCGGUUUGGGGUUCUUCAGCAUUUAAGCGUGCGCGGUUGCGCCUUUCUGUCUGUUCAUUGGUAAUUUCACUGGACUUAAGCUUUCAGCCACCAGGAACCACGCUUUGGAGUAAGGUAGCAGGUUAAAGGGCAAAUGAUCAAGAGUUUGGGGUUAGCAGAAGUUUCAGGUCGGCUUUCAAGAAAUGAAGGUUAGGACACCGUGUGUUGGACUAUGGAAUCUUUUCCAAGGACUGAGCUUCAGCAUCAGGCACUACUCUAAGCGUAACCAUCUUCAAACAGUGUGUCCCUCUAGUAAAAUAAAGGCCCCAAAAUGCCACAUCCUGGACUAUUCAGGAGGUACUGUGCUGCCUGGAAGUGUCGUGCCGUGGAGAUGCUUUUCCUGCAAGGAGGAAGAAACAAAAAUCCCUUCCAAAAGGAAGCAAAAUACAUCCAUAAUAACAUCAGAACUUUUAUACAAGAAUUUUCUGAAAUCGGAGCAGAAAAACUGGAAUGACAUUUCAGCAAGAUACAAAGCUAUGACAAAAAGAAUCAAGGAAAAAAUAGAAGCAUUGCACAACAAGUAUACACUCAGUUUGGGAAGCCCAAGGCUCAGGUUUGGCAACAAUGUAUACUUUGAAGAGGACGGCUGCAUAUUUCUUUCAAAAGCAGAUGACGUAGAUGAAGGAAAUGUUGACAUUUUAUUCAGUACCGAAGAUCAUGGCUUUUCUCAUGCCUUUAUUCGACGAAUCAGAAUUUCACCAAAUCAGAGAUACAUGGCUAUCGGCUUAAAAAGUGAAAACUCUGAAGAGGCAACCUGUGUUAUUCUGAAACUGGGUAAUUUUCCUCUCGUGGAAAAAGUAAUUCCAAAUGUAUUUAGUUUUGAAUGGGCGACCAAUGAUGUUCUGUAUUACACAAGUCAGAAGAACCUUAAAUGCCAGAAUGUGUUUAUGACCACUUUCACUGAUCAGAAACAUACUAAGUUAGUUUAUACAGAACAAGAUGCAAGAUUCUUUGUGGACAUACAUUGCACAAAAGAUAGGCGUUUUCUCACUAUCAACAGCAACAGCAAGACCACCUCAGAAGUUUGGCUGGUUGACUGUAGGCAUCCUUUUAAGUUACCUGCUCUUGUACAAGCACGAACAAAAGGGGUCAUUUACCACAUUGAGCACAGAAAUGAUGAGUUAUAUAUUCUUACUACAUAUGGAGAACCUGCAGAAUAUAAGUUGAUGAAGGCACCAGUAGCUUCCAGUGGCAUGGAGAACUGGCAGUUAGUUUAUGCACUGGAGAAGAAAACCAAGCUAGUAGACCUGGAGAUGUUCAGUGAUCACUGUAUUAUGUUCCUGAAAAAUGCUGGUCAUCUUUACUUAAACGUGCUUUCUUUUGUUUCACAUUCAGUCCAGUCAAUAAAGCUACCUACGUGGGCCUGUGAAUUUGAAUUGGAAUCUCAUCCUGAACAUACCAGCAGCACUUGCUAUUUUCAGCUCACCUCCCCAGUCCACCCCCCUAAGCAUUUUGCAUAUUCAUUUAAAGAAAAUAAUCUCAUUGAACAAGCUGUGCAAGAGGUACCAAUUAUUACGAAUUAUCACACUACACGUUUACUAGCCAAAAGCGAGGAUGAAACUUUGGUGCCAAUUACAGUUUUUCAUAAUAUGAAUUCUAAAGAGCUACACAGGAAACCACUUCUGGUUCAUGUAUAUGGAGCUUAUGGCAUAGAUUUGAACAUGACCUUUAAAGAAGAGAAGCUGAUGUUGAUUGAAGAGGGUUGGAUAUUAGCAUAUUGCCAUGUUAGGGGUGGAGGAGAGCUAGGCCUUAGCUGGCACAAAGAUGGAUGUCAGCAUAAUAAACUCAAAGGUCUCCAUGACCUUAAGGCUUGCAUCAUGCUCCUGCAUGAACUAGGAUUUUCUCAGCCAAAAUACACGGCACUAGCGGCUGCCAGCGCAGGAGGAGUUCUUGCAGGAGCCCUGUGCAACACUGCUCCAGAACUUAUCAGAGCCAUGGUUUUACAGGCUCCUUUCGUAGAUGUUCUAAGUACAAUGAUGAAAACUCAUCUCCCACUGACAAUUGAAGAACAAGAAGAAUGGGGAAAUCCACUAGCGGAUGAAAAAUGUAUGAAGUAUAUCAAAAGCUAUUGCCCAUACCAGAAUAUUAAGCCACAGUGUUAUCCUUCAGUUUUUAUAACGGCAUAUGAAAAUGAUCAACGGAUACCACUAACAGGAGUUUUACGAUACGUUCAGAAGCUUAGGAAGGCUGCACUAGACUAUACCAGCAGAACAAGUAAGAAAGCUUCAUUGUUCCAGGAAAUUGGAUCCCCAACAUCAUCUUAGACAUCCAGGCAAAUGGCAGUCAUUGUGAUUCAUCCUGGGAGGAUUCACUGAAUGAGGUUGCAAGACACCUUGCUUUUCUGAACAAAGAACUUGAGGAAGUAUGCCAUCUCCAACAUGACAGCAAAUCCUGCAAAUAGCUAAUAAAUACAUUGAUCACCUGAAGAGCUUUGCGAUAGAUUUUUGUUUGCAUACAAAACAAACACCUUCUCCAGAGGAUCUCUCCUCUUGGAUCCCUGCUUUAUGGGCAUCAGCAGACAAGAAAUUCAAAGUCAAAGCUGGGUGUCGCACUGGCUUAUAAACAUACAAACUAAGAGCUUAAUUUCUCCUCUGCCAGAUAGUAGAGAAGUAGCCACCUGCAUUAAUCAAUUUGUUCAGUACAGUUCUGUUCACAUAAGCAAGCAGUGCAGCACUGGACAAGGUAGAGCUGAAGCAUGACCGUUGGUGCGUAAAGCCUAACAUGUGAAGACGUGCAUUUUGUACAGGCAGCCUUUCCAGUCUAAGACCUCUCUUCCAAGACCAGAUUUUACACAAAGCAGUAAAACGUCCAAGAAAUAUUUGAUUUCAAAGUGUAUGGUCUUCUAAACCCUAAUUCCCAUACAUAGUUGAUAAUGACUGUUGCUGUUCCUAGCUACACAGCAGCCAUAGUGUGCUGAUCAUAUAGUAGCAUUGAACAAACUGGAAGGAAGAAAUGGACUCUCAAGAACUCUUUCAUGUGAGUAGAUUGAAAAUCUUGUAGUUACCUUAACUACCAUGGUCAUCUUAAAAAGGAGGUGCCAAAGUCCCUUCAGAAGACAAGACGAGCACCACAGGAGAUGCCAGAGUCUCCGGUGGAUAAAACAAAAGGAAAGUUCUCACUAAAGCAGCCUGAUUCAUAGCUUAGCUGGCCUCUGAGCAAGGCACCCAACUUCUACACAUUGCUUGUUAAGACAGGCGCAUGGUGCACACACCUAGGGCCACCCACUGGUGCAAGCAGUUGGUGGAAAAUACACUAUGCGGCCAUAAAGUACUCCAACCAAAACAGAGUCCCCCAGAUCACCCACAUGUCCAAACCAGACUGUACCAAGGCUAAUGCUCAUCCUUCCUUUGUGUCACAUCAGCCACAGUAGGGCACGCCAAAUGCAAAUCAAGACACACAAGGGGGACGUUCAGUAGAGUUGUUUCAGCUGUUUACUCUGAACUAAUGUAUGCACACCUCACCUCAACCUCAAAGCAGAAGAAGAAAUAAGAGGAUGCAAAUGUAAGAAGGAUAUGGAGCUGUUGGAACGGGUCCAGAGGAGGGCUACAAAGAUGAUCAGAGGGCUGGAGCACCUUUCCUACGAAGACAGGCUGAGAGAGUUGGGGUUGUUCAGCCUGGAGAAGAGAAGGCUCAGAGGAGACCUUAUAGCGACCUUCCAGUACCUGAAAGGGGCUACAGGGAAGCUGGAGAGGAGCUAUUCAUAAAGACUGGUGGGGAUAGGACCAGGGGGAAUGGGUACAAACUGGAGAGGGGCAGAUUUAGACUAGACAUUAGGAAGAAUUUCUUCACUAUGAGGGUGAUGAGUCACUGGCACAGGUUGCCCCGGGAAGCUGUGGCUGCCCCAUCCCUCGAGGUGUUUAAGGUCAGGUUGGAUGGGGCUGUGGGCAGGGGGAUUGGAACUAGAUGAUCUUUAAGGUCCCUUCCAACCCUAACUAUUCGAUGAUUCUGUGAAAUGUAUUCAAAAUCAUCACAAGGUGGAGAAACUAAUUGGAAAUGCAGUCCUGAGUGUAGAAUUAGACUUAUUAGCUGGAUUUUGUUUUUCUCACUAAUUUUGAGGAUAAUCAAAGCAGUUAAGAGAAGAGAUAAGGUGUCACAACUUUAUGUAUUAGUCUUGCUUGCUUUUACCUAGUUUAACAAAUACAGGGUCAUUCCUUUAGAAUAAGUUAGCUUUAUAGAUGUACAGACUUCUAAAAAGCUACUAUGGACUGUCACAGGCUUUGGA